CCGGGGCAAACAAACGUUUUCAAAUUAAAAACUUUUAUUAUUAAUUAGAAUGUGGUGUAUAAAUGAUUGUAAGAAUCCGGAGUUGGUCAUUUGUGUGUGCCGUACGAGUUAGCAUGGUUAGUGGGGUACAGGAUUUUGGCUAAAGGCAUUUAGCUUUUGUCACAGUGGUAUACGAGGAUACAGUAGGACUACGGUUAAGGACUGGGCCUAUCCUGGCGUCUGGACGCCACGUGGUCGGACGAUAUUUCAUAGAUAUAGUUUGAAUUCCGUCACGGAGUAAACAGGGAUACUGGUGCACAUAAUUAUUGUAAUUUGGAUUCUGUGUAGUGGUAAUAUAACUUGAUCAAAUAUUGCAGUGACAUGUCGACAAACCGUGAUCCAAAAGGAAAGUGUGGUGUGAAAUUCCCCGAAUUUGGUACUUUUUCUCUUCGUGAUGGAGGAUUGGGAACUGAUAUAAUAAACCCCUGAUAAUAAAGGACCUGAUAGUGAGCAAGUAUAAAUUGAAAUUAGAUUCACCGUGGAUUACGAUGUAAGAACAAAAUAAUAUCUUAUCUGCCGCGGAUAUAGAAACUAGUGAAGUGUUCCCUACAAUGUAUGAAGGAUGAAGUAUUUUUUAUUUGUCUUCUAAUAUAAAAAAUACUUGAAAACAAGAGAGUGAAAAGCAAUUUUUUAUUUGUUUAAAAAAAAUAAAUAUGGUGGUUGACUA